AUCACUCUCCUCUUCAGCGGGCAUUUGCAGAAAUGCGACGGACAUUCAUACAGGGUAAGUCCCAUUUGCGGGCUUUUCUGUUUUAUUAGUAGACUAUUACUGAUGCUUUGCUUAGUAAUUUGGAAAAUACAAGAUGCUAAUAAUGUUUUUUUAUAUAUAUAAACAUAUCUGUAUUUUCCGAAAAUACAUAAUACAAAUAAUGUUUUUUUUUUUUAGUAAUGUUGCUUCAAUGUCAUUUACUCGCACGGGGGCAUGCAGAAACAAACCCGAAAUUCAUAAAGUGAAUGUUGCUGUAUCACUUUCACCUUCGUUUGAUACUCGCAUUGGGAGGGCACGCAGAAGCGCAAUUGAGAACAAGAAUGGGAAUGCGUCUGCAACACCAACUUCGUCUGGUACUCGCACGAGGGCACGCAGCUGCGCAACUGGGAACAAUAAAGAGAAUAGGGCUGAAACACUUUCGCUUUCAUUUCCUCGCACGAGAUCACACAGCAACGCGACCGACAUUCAUCAAGUGAAUGUGGCAGGAUCACUUUCACUUUUACCCGCUACUCACAAACGCCAAAGGUCUCCUUCAGUUCUCAAAGCAACUGAGACUAAUGUGUAAGUACAGUUUAUUAAAGUGUCACUACUAUAGUAAAAUACUGAGUAAUAUUUUUAU